rnacentral:rRNA from 1 species
GACGUAGGGCGCGAGCGUUGUCCGGAUUUAUUGGGCGUAAAGGGCGCGUAGGUGGCCCGGUCAGUUCGUGGUGAAAGCGCGGGGCUCAACCCUGCGUCGGCCAUGAAUACUGCCGCGGCUGGAGCACUGUAGAGGCAGGCGGAAUUCCGGGUGUAGCGGUGGAAUGCGUAGAGAUCCGGAAGAACACCGGUGGCGAAGGCGGCCUGCUGGGCAGUUGCUGACACUGAGGCGCGACAGCGUGGGGAGCAAACAGG